rnacentral:rRNA from 1 species
CUCGUAGGUGGCCAAUUAAGUCAGACGUGAAAUCCCCAGGCUUAACUUGGGAACUGCGUCUGAUACUGAGUGGCUUGAAUUCGGGAGAGGGAUGCAGAAUUCCAGGUGUAGCGGUGAAAUGCGUAGAUAUCUGGAGGAAUACCGGUGGCGAAGGCGGCAUCCUGGACCGAGAUUGACACUGAGGAGCGAAAGCCAGGGGAGCAAACG